UGGGGAAUAUUGCACAAUGGACGAAAGUCUGAUGCGGCAACGCCGCGUGGAGGAUGACACAUUUCGGUGCGUAAACUCCUUUUAUAUAGGAAGAUAAUGACGGUACUAUAUGAAUAAGCACCGGCUAACUCCGUGCCAGCAGCCGCGGUAAUACGGAGGGUGCAAGCGUUACUCGGAAUCACUGGGCGUAAAGAGCGUGUAGGCGGGUAUAUAAGUCAGAAGUGAAAUCCAAUAGCUUAACUAUUGAACUGCUUUUGAAACUGUAUACCUAGAAUGUGGGAGAGGUAGAUGGAAUUUCUGGUGUAGGGGUAAAAUCCGUAGAGAUCAGAAGGAAUACCGAUUGCGAAGGCGAUCUACUGGGACAUUAUUGACGCUGAGACGCGAAAGCGUGGGGAGCGAACA
rnacentral:rRNA from 1 species